UGUAUUAGCUAAGAAGAUGUAAACAAGCAAUCUACUUCCAACUGAGUGCCAUCCCAACCCACCCAUAUUCUAGUGGCCUCCCCCUUCUUUACAGUUAUGAACAUACUUCCACUCUCUUUUCAAAGAAGAAAACACAGAAUCAAUAUUUUCCUCUCACUUUUGUUUCAACAAGGAUCUCUAACUUAAUAUUUUUUUUCAUUCAACAUAUACUUCACCCCUCUUUGUUUUUCAGGGUCAUUAAGGUCCCUUAUAUUCCAACACAAACAAUUCAUUUAGUAACCUUCUUAGAUUGUUACCCUGAGCUCUCAUAGCCCCCUUCUUUACCCCCACAUCUUGAAACAUUUUCUACAUAUUAGGUGUCACCUCAAUACGCUGGGGUUGAAGGGACAUAUUUUUGCAUGACCCCCUCCUUUAAUAGGGAAAGCAGACUUAGCAAGGUUAGUGGAAGAAGAAGCUUUGGUCAUACCUUAUUUGUUCACUUUGGCUAUGGAGGGAUUUACUGGGAUUAUGAAGAAGCUUGAAGUUGAUGGUAGACUCACAUUGACAUAUUGCAAUCCUAUUUUGGACCUCAUCUGAACAAAGCUGGAAGGUUAGAAGACUAGAUUUCUCUCCUAUGCUGGAAGAUAACAGUUGGUCUCCUCUGUUCUCCAAGGAUGCCAUAUCAAUUGGUUAGGAAUUUUUUCUCUACCACCUUAUUCUAAAGUGGAGAUAGAACAAGCUACUACCUUACAUCUGAUGGAAGCUUGGAGAGGGCUCCCUCCUAUUCCUAGACUUCACUAUCCUAAGAAGGAUUUAGUGGUCUAGAAAGGGCACUAAAUCAGCCUGGCAGAUUGUUCGAAAAAAGGAGACAAAGAUAUCUUGGGCCAAGAUUGUUUGGUUUGAUGGUAAUAUCCCAAGACACUCAUUUACAACAUACUUAUUGAUGCUUUACCUACAAAAGAUCAACUUAUC